GUUCCAGACUCCUACGGGAGGCAGCAGUGGGGAAUAUUGCACAAUGGGCGAAGGCCUGAUGCAGCGACGCCGCGUGAAGGAUGAAGUAUUUCGGUAUGUAAACUUCUAUCAGCAGGGAAGAAAAUGACGGUACCUGACUAAGAAGCCCCGGCUAACUACGUGCCAGCAGCCGCGGUAAUACGUAGGGGGCAAGCGUUAUCCGGAUUUACUGGGUGUAAAGGGGGCGCAGACGGCGAUGCAAGCCAGGAGUGAAAGCCCGGGGCCCAACCCCGGGACUGCUCUUGGAACUGCGCGGCUGGAGUGCAGGAGGGGCAGGCGGAAUUCCUGGUGUAGCGGUGAAAUGCGUAGAUAUCAGGAGGAACACCGGUGGCGAAGGCGGUCUGCUGGACUGCAACUGACGUUGAGGCCCGAAAGCGUGGGGAGCAAACAGGAUUAGAUACCCGAGUAAA
rnacentral:rRNA from 1 species